rnacentral:lncRNA from 1 species
GUAUAAAUGGGUAAUGGAAUUUCACAGAUGAAAAAAAUAGGAAUUUAGUUUAAAGUUAACUUUGAACAAUUAAAAGUUAAAAUUUUGUAUAAAUAUGUAUACAAAAUUGUCACACAUGUUGAAAUAAAUCGCUUUUAAAAUAUUUAUAGAUCUGUGUAAAAUACUUUAAUUUUAAUAGGACGGAUUAAAGGGCGAUUUUGUAUAACUUUUAACUUAGUUUAAUACAGUUUUUCAUAUUUGCAAUUAAAAAAUCUCGUUUUACUGAGUUUAUAACGUUAUGCUGAGACGUUUCGGUUAAACCAAUUUAAAUCUAGAAUGAAUAGACCUUUGAUGGAGUAUGAUUUGCAAUGCUUCUUAUUCGUUGAACCUAAUUUACAUACAGUGGUACAGGUAUAUAAAUACUAUAUAGUUGUAAUUUCCGCGUCAUAAAAUUGGAUACUGUAGAAAUUGUGCAAUGGAAGAGAAUCAUGCAGGAGGACAGCCAAUUCGGCGAAGGAUUACAGUUCGAAUCAUAGUGGAUGUUAUAAUUUGGCUUGCAGUAUCUUUGUUAGUUUUGUACCUAUUUCUGUUCGGAAAUCCCUACGAGACAGGAUUUUUCUGUGACGAUAAAUCGCUUAGUUAUCCUUCAAUACCAGAAACCAUAUCCACACCAGUACUGGUAGCAGCCGGAUUCACUUUCUCCAUUUUACUGGUUGUUUUAGUCGAAGGUUUAAAUUGUUGUGACAAUAAGUGCCUGCGAACAUGCCGACGAUCAACCGACCUUGUGUUUUGUGUGAAGAGUUACAUUGUGUUUAUGAUCGGCUUCCUCGUACAAGAACUGGUUGUUGACGCCGUCAAAAACAAGAUGGGUGUGCUGCAGACCUAACUUCUUUGACGUAUGCAAACCACAGUUUAAUAGGACUUCAUGUCCAGGAUACAUAUCCAACUACACCUGCACCGGAAAUGAAGAAAAUAAAGAACUCAGAAGCAGCCGACAAUCUUUCCCUUCCGGUCAUUCAGCAUUUUCUAUGUAUAUAGCGAUUUAUUUUUGUAUUUACAUAGAGAAUCGUUUGCAGAUAAAGUUUUCUCGUUUAUUAAAGUUCUUUCUUCAAUCUGGUCUUGUAUUCAUUGCAAUACUCUGUGGUCUUGGGCGCAUCAAAGACAACUAAACACCAUCCUUCUGAUGUCAUAGCAGGAUAUAUAUUAGGAAUCGGAUGUCGCUGUAUUUGUGGUGAGUGACUAAAGAACUGAUUCAAACAAAGGCGUUUUCCGAUAUCUAUAUUAACAAAACAUAGAUUUGUUUUUCAUUUACAUUUCUGAACAACAUUGAAAACGUUUGAGCACAUAUCUUACAUUUUUAGAAUAUUUAGAUGUUUCAUUUGAUCUUUGAUCUGCUUGUAUGUUAAAUUUAAACAAAAAUUUGGUUUUUCAACUUUCAGCACUUAGGUAAUUGGAAGGACGUUUAUGAAGGCAGCAGGUGUGAAAGAAAGGACAACGUUACAAAUAAAGAAUAAGACAUGUGACUGUUGUUGCACGUGCGAAAAUUCGUCAGACCUUGAUCCACAAACACCAGCACCCUUAUUACAAAAUGAAUAUUUUCAGAACAUAGAAAAUGGAAAACAUUCAUCGUCAACAAAACUUAUAGCGCUUCAAAAUAAUAAUCACCGAAAUAGAUCAAUGACGUCAGAAAUCGUAUAAAAAUCGUUGCGUUCAUAGUAUAGUGACAUGUUUGGAACGCGUAAAAAGUAGUUCUGAUACAUAAAGGAGAAUGAUUACUGUCACAUCUGAUAAUUGGCAAGAAAAUGUAACAUUUGCCGUAUUUAAAUCUGUUUAAUAUGAAAUAUGUAAUUUAACCAUGGCAAAAGUUUUAUGUAGUUUUUUAUGUAUUUAUUAUUUUCAUUAUUUUGCUUUCUAGGUUUGACCAGUUAACAUUGCCGUUUCGAAAAUGAUAUUUUGCGGAGCCGUGUUCUACUAUAUGUUAUGUUUUAGCUUCGUUAUAUUGACUGGAAGAUAAGCUAUGAUCUCUUCUGGAUGCAUGGACGAAGUUUAGAUCAUAGUCAUUAACACUCAUGUUCUGAUGUUUUCCUGAAUACUUAUGAAAUCUUUUACAAAUGCAUAACAGUUAAUUGAAAUAGUUUCCUAGAUUAAGAAUUAAAUUUUAGGGACGUAUUAAAUUUGGUUCGCAAAUUGUUUCAAUAAUUAAUCUUACAAUAAUUUUCUGUAAUGUUCAUCUUCAGCUAUUAACAAAUGAAACGAAAUGUUCUGUUUUUUAUUCAAAUUUUCAAGUAUAAAUCAUUAAUAUAAUAUAAGAUCUGUUAAGCAUAAUUGAUCUCAACAUUCUAUGGUAAUGUUUUAAGAAUUUCAAAUACAUUUGCAAAUCAAAAUUAAAAAGAAUUGAAUAUUGACAGACAAAAUGUCUAUUUACUACAAGUACUACUUAGUUCUGAAGGCUUAAGUAUCUGAACAUACUAUAUCGUUUGAUUCAUUUGUGGUGUACAUAAGAAAUUCAAAAUCAUUUGCAAUAAAAUGGUAAUUGAAUUCUUAA